rnacentral:tRNA from 1 species
UGCAGGAUCGGCUAAUGGUAGGCCAGAUGACUCUGGAUCAUCCAGUCCAGGUUCGAAUCCUGGUCCUGCAGCCA